UACAGAGGGUGCAAGCGUUAAUCGGAAUUACUGGGCGUAAAGCGCGCGUAGGUGGUUCAGUAAGUUGAAUGUGAAAUCCCCGGGCUCAACCUGGGAACUGCAUCCAAAACUGCUGAGCUAGAGUAUGGUAGAGGGUGGUGGAAUUUCCUGUGUAGCGGUGAAAUGCGUAGAUAUAGGAAGGAACACCAGUGGCGAAGGCGACCACCUGGACUGAUACUGACACUGAGGUGCGAAAGCGUGGGGAGCAAACAGG
rnacentral:rRNA from 1 species